rnacentral:rRNA from 1 species
AUUGAACGCUGGCGGCAGGCCUAACACAUGCAAGUCGCACGAGUGGCGGACGGGUGAGUAAUGUCUGGGAAACUGCCUGAUGGCGGGGGAUAACUACUGGCAACGGUAGCUAAUACCGCAUACCAUCGGAUGUGCCCCGAUGGGCUUAGCUGGUUGUUGGGGUAACGGCUCACCUAGGCGACGAUCCCUAGCUGGGCUGAGAGGAUGACCAGCCACACGGGAACUGAGACACGGUCCAGACUCCUACGGGAGGCAGCAGUGGGGAAUAUUGCACAAUGGGCGCAAGCCGGAUGCAGCCAUGCCGCGGGUAUGAAGAAGGCCGUCGGGUUGUAAAGUACGUUCAGCGAGGAGGCGUUACUCGCAGAAGAAGCACAGGCUAACUCCGUGCCAGCAGCCGCGGUAAUAC